AGCAGCCGCGGUAACUCCAGCUCCAAUAGCGUAUAUUAAAGUUGUUGCAGUUAAAAAGCUCGUAGUUGAACUUGAAAGUUUCCUGGUUGGGAUUGGCCUGGGUCAGUGCAGUUCACGCUGUGUUGGCUAUUCCAAACAGGCCAAGUUUCCCAUUUUACCAGGGGCUUUAAACCUUGUCUGAGGAGCUUGGAUGCACUUUACUGUUGUGUCCUUGCGAGUCAGAACAUUUUACCUUGAAAAAAUUAGAGUGUUCAAAGCAGGCUCUUGAGCUUGAAUACAUUAGCAUGGGAUAAUAGAAUAGGACUUUUGGUUCUAUUUUGUUGGUUUUUGAGAACCAGAGUAAUGAUGAAUAGGAACAGUUGGGGGCAUUCAUAUUCAAUCGCUAGAGGUGAAAUUCUUAGAUUGAUUGACGAUGAACUACUGCGAAAGCAUUUGCCAAGGAUGUUUCCAUUAAUCAAGAACGAAAGUUAGGGGAUCGAAGACGAUCAGAUACCGUCGUAGUCUUA
rnacentral:rRNA from 1 species